GCUUCCAUAGUGCAGAGGUUAGCAUGUCCGCCUAUGACGCAGAACGCCUGGGUUCGAAUUCUGGUAAGAACA
rnacentral:tRNA from 1 species